UUGUAUAAAUAAUGGUUAUUGGGCCAGAGAGAGAGUUAGAAUGAUUCUGUAGCCUGUUGGUUGGGCUACUCACUAGGGAGGUCGGAGACCUAAGUUCAAAUCCCUGCUCCAAUGAGUAAUUGCUUUUAGUAAUUGCAGUGGGACAGCUUCAACAGAAGAGACUGAGACACCCAGGUCAGAAUACCCCAUCUCCCAGUGGCUAGGUUUCUUGCCUGUACGGUGGGAUUCCCAAGUCAAAAUCCCUUUUCUUUAUUAGGCAGAGAGGGGAGCAGAACCUUGGUCUCCCACAUCCUAGGUCAGUGGCUAUAAGGGAGGCAUUAUUACCUCUAUUCCCCUCCUCCUUGGGCUGUUUGUGAAAAUUGCCUCAGACACCCCACAAAAAGUGUGCUCAAACUUUUGGCAAGCUUGUGGAUAGCAUUGAUUUUUAAAAAACACCUGGCUUUAGUCAUUAUUACCUAACAUAGAAGAGUGAGCUGCACAAUCUUUACCUUAUGCACUGAAUUGGUUGUAUUAAAAUGUAGCGUAAAUGCAGAAUGUGGGACCGAGCAGGAAUUCAUUGACUAUGGAACUGCCUAUUGGAGACCAAAACUAACACGUUAGAGUGUGGUGUAACCAAACCUUUGCAAAAAUCUUUGUGCAGUGAUGGAAAUUGAAGAAUGAAUAAUUUUUAAAAAAAUUCUACAGAUAAAAACAGCUGAAUCUAGUAGUGACUGAAAACAAUCCAUUACUUUCUAAUCUAAGCCUGAGUUGUUUUAAUACCUAGAUAUGAUGUUGCAUCAGACUGACUCCUAUUGAAGUCAGUAUUUGCCAUCAAUUACAAUCCUAUGGUGCCUGUUGGAUUUGUAAGUCUUGUUUAUUCAAGAGGCUGAUGCUACUUCUCUUAAAACCCACGUUAAAAACACAGUUGUCCUAUCUUUGGCAAUGGCUUCCAAAAUCCAAAAUGGUUCCCCUGGGGAUUGAUGAGACCAUAGACAAGUUAAAAAUGAUGGAAGGUCGAAACUCAAGCAUUCGUAAAGCUGUGAGAAUUGCUUUUGAUCGUGCUAUGACUCAUCUAAGUAGAGUCCAUGGAGAACCAGUUAGCGACUUCAGUGAUAUUGACUAACAAAGGUGCUACCAAGGCAAGAAACACACAACAUAUAGACUUGAACUUUAUUAAUAAACCUCAUUGUCUAAAAGAAUGUAUUGACAAUACGACUCCUUAAUCAUUGAUUCAGUGGCUGAGUUCUGCAAACUUCAAACAGUUGAGCAGUUUCUCUAUAUCACCAUUGCCAUAUAGAUUAAUGAUUUUAUCAUUGUGUUGUAGUUUGGAGGAUUUUCCACUAAACCUGUUAAAAUGUCUUGUUCAUAGUGUUCAUAAAUUGUACAUAUAUGUAUAUUCAACACUUAACUUAUUCUGAUUUUAGAGGUAGCUCUUUAAUUCCCUUUUUUAUUUUUGAUGGGGAGAGCGUAGGUUCUCAUUUUCCAUGUUUUUUAGAUAUUAAAAAAAAAAGUAAAGUACAUAAGCACCAUCUUCCAGCUUAAGGUGCUUAGUGAAUCUUAAAGCCUAAUAU